UACGGGGGGUGCGAGCGUUGUCCGGAAUCACUGGGCGUAAAGGGCGCGUAGGCGGCUCGGUAAGCGUGUGGUGAAAGCUUGGGGCUCAACCCCGGGUCGGCCAUGCGAACUGUCGAGCUGGAGCACUGUAGAGGCAGGCGGAAUUCCGGGUGUAGCGGUGGAAUGCGUAGAGAUCCGGAAGAACACCGGUGGCGAAGGCGGCCUGCUGGGCAGUAGCUGACGCUGAGGCGCGACAGCGUGGGGAGCAAACAGG
rnacentral:rRNA from 1 species